AUUGAACGCUGGCGGCAGGCCUAACACAUGCAAGUCGAGCGGAUGAAGGGAGCUUGCUCCUGGAUUCAGCGGCGGACGGGUGAGUAAUGCCUAUGAAUCUGCCUGGUAUUGGGGGAUAACGUCCGGAAACGGGCGCUAAUACCGCAUACGUCCUGAGGGAGAAAGUGGGGGAUCUUCGGACCUCACGCUAUCAGAUGAGCCUAGGUCGGAUUAGCUAGUUGGUGGGGUAAAGGCCUACCAAGGCGACGAUCCGUAACUGGUCUGAGAGGAUGAUCAGUCACACUGGAACUGGGACACGGUCCAGACUCCUACGGGAGGCAGCAGUGGGGAAUAUUGGACAAUGGGCGAAAGCCUGAUCCAGCCAUGCCGCGUGUGUGAAGAAGGUCUUCGGAUUGUAAAGCACGUUAAGUUGGGAGGAAGGGCAGUAAGUUAAUACCUUGCUGUUUUGACGUUACCAACAGAAUAAGCACCGGCUAACUUCGUG
rnacentral:rRNA from 1 species